rnacentral:tRNA from 1 species
AAGGCCUUAGCUUAAAGUUAAAGUAUUUGGGUUGCAUUCAAGAGAUGUAAGAUAAAGUCUUGCAGGUUUUA